UACGAAGGGGGCUAGCGUUGCUCGGAAUCACUGGGCGUAAAGGGUGCGUAGGCGGGUCUUUAAGUCAGGGGUGGAAUCCUGGAGCUCAACUCCAGAACUGCCUUUGAUACUGAAGAUCUUGAGUCCGGGAGAGGUGAGUGGAACUGCGAGUGUAGAGGUGAAAUUCGUAGAUAUUCGCAAGAACACCAGUGGCGAAGGCGGCUCACUGGCCCGGUACUGACGCUGAGGCACGAAAGCGUGGGGAGCAAACAGG
rnacentral:rRNA from 1 species